rnacentral:rRNA from 1 species
AUGCAUAGAUUUAGGAUGUCCCGUAAUUUGUUCAAACGCAUAGCCGAUGGUAUACUUGAGCAUGAUUAUGAUGGUUAUUUUACUCAAAAAAGAAGUGCUUCUGGAGCUCUUGGGUUACAUCCUCUGCAAAAGAUUACCGCGGCAAUGCGGAUGCUAACAUAUGGAAUAGCAGCUGAUGGUGCUGAUGAGUACAUCCGGUCCGCUGAGGCUACUAAUUUAGAGUCUUGCAAGAAAUUUGUGAUCAAAGUUUGUGAAGUUUUUGGGGAAAGGUACCUGAGAUCUCCAAAUGAAGAAGACAUUGCUAGGUUACUUGCAAUAGGGGAGGAAAGAGGAUUUCCUGGUAUGUUAGGGAGCAUAGAUUGCAUGCACUGGGGUUGGAAAAAUUGCCCCCAAAAAUGGCAUGGCAUGUUUAAAGGCCAUGUCAGCGAGCCCACUAUGAUCUUGGAAGCAGUUGCUUCACAAGAUCUUUGGAUUUGGCAUGCUUAUUUUGGUUUACCAGGGUCUCUGAAUGAUAUAAAUGUUCUUCAACGUUCUCCUGUUUUUACAAAGCUAGCUGAAGGCCAAACUCCUCCAGUGAAUUAUAGCAUCAAUGGCCAUCAGUACACAAUGGGGUAUUACCUUGCAGAUGGUAUCUAUCCACGGUGGGCAACAUUUGUGAAGAGCAUACCAGCUCCAGAUACCAGAAAACAUAAAACUUUUGCCAAGAGGCAAGAGGGGGCUAGGAAAGAUGUGGAACGAGCCUUUGGAGUUCUUCAAUCCCGUUUUGCCAUUGUUCGUGGACCUGCUAAAGGAUGGAAACGUAAAGAAAUCGGUGAUGUCAUGAAAGCUUGUGUCAUAAUGCACAAUAUGAUAGUUGAAGAGGAGCGACAAACUGGUCGGCAAAGCUGCACUUUUGAGGCAAUGGGAGAAAGAGUCACGGUCUCUCAUACUCAUGCGGAACAACUGAGCUCUUUUAUUCAGAUGACUCACCGGAUUAGAAAUCAAGGUGAACAUGAUCAGCUUAAACUUGAUCUAAUUGACCAUGUGUGGCAAAAGUUUGGAAACGAGUGA